AAUUAAUUGGCAGAAAAAUGCAUUAGAAUUAGAAUCUAAUAAAACUAAAAUUA
rnacentral:tRNA from 1 species